rnacentral:rRNA from 1 species
GUGGGGAAUUUUGCGCAAUGGGGGAAACCCUGACGCAGCAACGCCGCGUGAGUGAUGAAGGCCUUCGGGUCGUAAAGCUCUGUCAGAGGGGAAGAAAUGCAGGGGUGCUAAUAUCAUCUUUGCUUGACGGUACCCUCAAAGGAAGCACCGGCUAACUCCGUGCCAGCAGCCGCGGUAAUACGGAGGGUGCGAGCGUUGUUCGGAAUUAUUGGGCGUAAAGCGCGUGUAGGCGGUUUGGUAAGUCUGAUGUGAAAGCCCCGGGCUCAACCUGGGAAGUGCAUUGGAAACUGUCAGACUUGAAUACGGGAGAGGGUAGUGGAAUUCCUAGUGUAGGAGUGAAAUCCGUAGAUAUUAGGAGGAACACCGGUGGCGAAGGCGGCUACCUGGACCGAUAUUGACGCUGAGACGCGAAAGCGUGGGGAGCAAACAGGAUUAGAAACCCCUGUAGUCC